AUACGGAGGGGGUUAGCGUUGUUCGGAAUUACUGGGCGUAAAGCGUACGUAGGCGGACUGAUCAGUUGGGGGUGAAAUCCCAGGGCUUAACCCUGGAACUGCCUUCAAUACUGUCAGUCUUGAGUUUGGGAGAGGUGAGUGGAAUUCCUAGUGUAGAGGUGAAAUUCAUAGAUAUUAGGAGGAACACCAGUGGCGAAGGCGGCUCACUGGCCCAUUACUGACGCUGAGGUACGAAAGCGUGGGGAGCAAACAGGAUUAGAUACCCUAGUAGUCC
rnacentral:rRNA from 1 species